ACUACGGGAGGCAGCAGUGAGGAAUAUUGGUCAAUGGGCGCGAGCCUGAACCAGCCAAGUAGCGUGAAGGACGACUGCCCUACGGGUUGUAAACUUCUUUUAUAAAGGAAUAAAGUGAGUCACGUGUGCCUUUUUGUAUGUACUUUAUGACUAAGGAUCGGCUAACUCCGUGCCAGCAGCCGCGGUAAUAAGGCGGAUCCGAGCGUUAUCCGGAUUUAUUGGGUUUAAAGGGAGCGUAGAUGGUUUGUUAAGUCAGUUGUGACAGUUUGCGGCUCAACCGUAAAAUUGCAAUUGAUACUGGGAGUCUUGAGUACAGUUGAGGUAGGCGGAAUUCGUGGUGUAGCGGUGAAAUGCUUAGAUAUCACGAAGAACUCCGAUUGCGAAGGCAGCUUACUAAACUGCCACUGACAUUGAUGCUCGAAAGUGUGGGUAUCAAACAGGAUUAGAUACCCCUGUAGUC
rnacentral:rRNA from 1 species